GAUGAACGCUGGCGGCGUGCCUAAUACAUGCAAGUCGAGCGAACAGACGAGGAGCUUGCUCCUCUGACGUUAGCGGCGGACGGGUGAGUAACACGUGGAUAACCUACCUAUAAGACUGGGAUAACUUCGGGAAACCGGAGCUAAUACCGGAUAAUAUCUUGAACCGCAUGGUUCAAUAGUUAAAGACGGUUUUGCUGUCACUUAUAGAUGGAUCCGCGCCGCAUUAGCUAGUUGGUAAGGUAACGGCUUAACAAGGCAACGAUGCGUAGCCGACCUGAGAGGGUGAUCGGCCACACUGGAACUGAGACACGGUCCAGACUCCUACGGGAGGCAGCAGUAGGGAAUCUUCCGCAAUGGGCGAAAGCUUGACGGAGCAACGCCGCGUGAGUGAUGAAGGUCUUCGGAUAGUAAAACUCUGUUAUUAGGGAAGAACAAAUGUGUAAGUAAAUAUGCACGUCUUGACGGUACCUAAUCAGAAAGCCACGGCUAACUACGUG
rnacentral:rRNA from 1 species